UUUAAUUGAAGCCAAAGAAGAGGCUUCUUAAUGUUAAUAAGAAAAUUGAAUUUAAUAUUCCAAUUAAAA
rnacentral:tRNA from 1 species